AUAGUAGUGCAAGAGAAAUCAGGG
rnacentral:siRNA from 1 species